rnacentral:lncRNA from 1 species
GGCCCGACAGUGCUUUUGGGAAGAAGCAAUUUGACUUGAGAAUUAGUGAUACUUAGCGUUAGUCAGAAGACAUCCUGAGGAGCCAGAGCCCAGGGUUCGGGAAUGGCCAGUGAUGUGGAAGAGGAAGGAGAUGAAACCACCUGUGUUUGGAGGCCAGGGAGCAUCUUCUGCACUGUUAUAAGGUGGGAACUUUAUUUGGAGGCUAACAUAGUUUCCACAGCCAUCCUCCCACACACUGACGCGUGGACUUUUGAAGCACGAGUGACACAGCUCCAUUCGUUUUUAGGGAAUCCACUCUGACAGCAAGGCGGAUGUCUUGCUGAGGGUGAGGCUAGAGGCAGGUGAAAGACAUUUGCGAUCUAGAAAUGACCUACAGAAGCUGAGGCUGGCAACACAGGGGAGCUGCAGCAAACUCCAAGGGACAGAGAAGUUUUGCAUUUGGCGAUGAUCUGGAUGUGGGAUAUAAGCUGCCAGACACUGAAGCUGGUAUGUAGGCAGCUAGAGGGGAAUGAGAGUCUUCUGGAGAACAGCAGGGAAGAAGAUCACAGAGGAGAAACUUCACGUGUAUGGAGUCUGGUGAAAGCGGGCACCAGUUGCCCUGGGAGCACACAGGAACCCAAGCUCAGCAGGCCGCUUAGAAGGCCAAGUGGAUUGAAUUGAACUCAGUCACCCUUCCCCUGCCCAGAGCAAGUUAAACCAAACCAGAGGGCGUGCCGUUUCUGAAACCUCGAGCGUAGCUGCCUUGCCUCUCAUUUGAAGAAACACUCUGCUAAGGCUGCAGUCAAUUCCCUGCCAACCUGGCUAAUUGCUAGUGUGCCGAGCCGUCUCCAUCUGGGCAGCGAAGCACUAGAAGUACGCGUGUCUGCACGUGUGCGCACACAGCCCGCUGUACUCACGAGGUCCUGUUUCACACACUUCCUCCCCGCAGGGCAGCUGAGUGGAUGGCAUUUCCUUCAGAGCUUGCCC